rnacentral:sRNA from 1 species
UUAUAACCUUCUAUUAGCCUAGCAUUCAAACCAGAGUUUAUAUUCCAGCCAUGGUCAGCAAUUCGUACUGAGUGAACAGUGUUAGCUGAAGUUCCAGAAACCCAAUUAUUCUCCACAGUGUUGUUCAGGACUUGAAGCAGAUAACAAUAUCCUUUCUAUCCUUUGCUAUCUACCUGUUCACAUCAAAUAAUCCAUCAAAUACCGAACCGGCCCAUCCAGCAUGUUGAUAAUGGAUAGCUCCUGGAAUUUGAUUUUCACAGUCACUCAGUAAUUCCUUCUUCUCAGUACACUGCUGGCUUUUACAUGUAUCUUGCUUUUCACAUCUUGUUGAAAAUUAUUCUUGGUCCCCAGAGACCUAGAUCGACGCAUAUUCUGAGUCUCUAAAAGAGAUUUGAGACCAGGAGACAGCUCCAGAUGCUGUCAGCCCAGUGCCGGGGGCAGGUUUCCAUCUGUGAAGUGGAGAGGCGCUUUGGGCUUCUUUGUUGGCAUCAGGUGCCCAUACCUAGGGCAGCUGUGGAAGUGUCAGCGUCCUCCCUGAGAGGAACCCCUGCUCUGGUGGCUCCUCAGUCCUUCCGUCAGUAUGCUGUAAAGCAGUCCCAUGGUAAUGGGUGUGGACUGUUACCAUGGCUGCUCCACUAGAAAGUGCCAUCACCAAAGAAUUAGAUUCUGGAACAGGAUGUCACUGUUAGAAUGGAAAUGUAGCCCAUAUAUAUUCAGCUACAAAGUCAUAAAGCCUAAAUGUCAUUGAUUCCGUAACUUAACACUGUCAGUUUAAUUUUCAGACUGAUUAAGCCCGAAGUGUAAAAUUAAAUCCUAUAAAAUAGGACAGGUUAUAAUGAGUGCUCAUUGGCAUUCAGGCAGUUGCCGAGCUGGGAGUAUCGAGUGGGAGUCUCUUGCCUGCCUAAGAAGGCUCUACUCAGACCAGCCCUUGCCCGCCAGCUUGGCGUUGACUUUCAGCCUAAUUGCUGAUAGGACCGGACGUCUUUGCUUUCACUUGCCCAAAGUGAAAGAGACAGGCCGACAGUUUCCAAAUGAAUAAAUAACAGAAAAAUAGAGAAAUUUUAAUUUGCAAACUUACUGUACUCUUCCCCCUCACUUAAGCCAGAGUAGUGUUUUUCCCAUCGUGCUCUUCGCUCUAGCUCCGGUGUCCUCCCAAGUUCUGUGCUGCUGUUGCCAGAUUAUCAGCCUCUCUCCGUUCUUCAGGUCUAAGUCGUAUUGGCCUGAACGAGUUUUUCAGAUCCCAGAGUUAAUAAUGAUACUGUGCACCACAGCAUGCAGAAGGCGCACAUGUUCAUUUGAUCGUCCCCCGCCUGCAGGCAAGGCAGAUGGGGACCCCGCGUUUUGCUGCUCAGACUCUCCCUCACUGUUGGUUCCUUUUGUGUUUCGUAUUCUCCCUGGAGACAGUGGUUUCUUCAGAGACAAAGAUGCUGUCUGGUUCCCGGCACCAGUUUGCCCACUUCCUUAUAUGCAGUGGUUGUGGAGUCACCAUUGCCUCCGACUGCUCCAGGCCUUAGGGAGAGGACCUCGAUAGCCCCAGGCUCAUGUCCACUCAGCAGGCUUCAGCUCUUCCCGCCCACAGGCUCCUUCCAGGGCCUCGCUUGGAGUGUCCUCCCGAGGCGCUUGGUCAUGUUUCCAGCUUUAUGCAAAAACAGGCUCCUGCUGGUUAUAUUGUAAACUCAGUAGAAUCUCAUGAACAGGGACUUGAUUUUGAUCUUUCUCUCUCAGGACGUGGAAACGGCCACCACAGUUGCUGUCAGUGGCAUUUAGGUGGCCGUGGACGCAAAUAGCAUUUCACAUCUCCCCCGUAGAUCACUUUCUCCGUCUUGGGUUUCAGUUGAACUUCCUAGACUAGUACAAUGGCUUAUUUUUGUUUUAAUCCAUUUUCCUGAAGUAACCUUUGGAAACAUCAGAAGCUACUCUCCAUCGACCUGGACAAGGUGGUGUUACCCAAUUUUCGAUCGAAUCGCCCUCAAGUGAGGCCCUUGUCCCCUGGAGAGAGCGGCGCCUGGGACAUUCCUGGAGGGAUCAUGCCUGGCCGCUACAACCAGGAGGUGGGCCAGACCAUUCCUGUCUUUGCCUUCCUGGGAGCCAUGGUGGUCCUGGCCUUCUUUGUGGUACAAAUCAACAAGGCCAAGAGCAGGCCGAAGCGGAGGAAGCCCAGGGUGAAGCGCCCGCAGCUCAUGCAGCAGGUUCACCCGCCAAAGACCCCUUCGGUGUGACCGGCAGCCUGGCUGACCGUGAGGGCCAGAGAGAGCCUUCACGGACGGCGCUGGUGGGUGAGCCGAGCUGUGGUGGCGGCUGGUUUAAAAGGGAUCCAGUUUCCAGCUGCAGGUUUGUUAGAGUCUGUUCUACAUGGGCCUGCCCUCCUGUGAUGGGCAGAGGCUCCUGGUACAUCGAGAAGAAUCCUGUGGGUCCCGUCAGGAGGGACUUAGUGGCUCUGCCACCAGUGAGACGUCCCACCGGCAGCUGUGCGCACCAAAGACUCGGGAGAACCUGGAAAGGCUGUCUGGGGUCUUCUAACUGCAAGGGAAGGAUGUACUUUCCAAACAAAUGAUACAACCCUGACCAAGCUAAAAUAUGCUUGUUAAAGGCUAUUUUCUAUAUUUAUUGUUGGGAAAAGUCACUUUAAAGACUUGUGCUAUUUGGAAGCAAAGCUAUUUUUUUUGUCAGUGGAAUGCAGUUUUUUUUACUAUUCCAUCAUGAGGAACAACAUAGAUUCCAUAAUCUUUUUAAUGACAGGACAGACUGAGAUUUGAAGGAAACAUGCACAAAUCUGUGAAACAUACAUAGACCUUCGCUUUAUUUUUGUAAGUAUCACCUGCCACCAUGUUUUGUAAUUUGAGGUCUUGAUUUCACCAUUGUUGGUGAAGAAAAUUUUCAAUAAAUAUGUAUUACCCGUCUGAAGCUUAAAGA